AUGGGCAUGUCUUGGAGUGGAUUUUGGUUACCAUCUAUGGAAACCCAAGUCUUAAGGAAUGCUGAAUAUCAAGUGAUUCCUGCUGCUCUCUGGAUGUUUUCGAGAUGGACAGAUGAAGCCAACUUCUGUAACCAGGAACCAUGAAAUAAAGGGCCAUUAGUUGGAGAAUGGGGAAAAAAA
rnacentral:lncRNA from 12 species